UGCCAGCCGCCGCGGUAACACGAACCGUACGAACGUUAUUCGGAAUCACUGGGCUUAAAGAGUGCGUAGGCGGCCUGGCAGGUUGGGUGUGAAAGCCCUCGGCUCAACCGAGGAAUUGCGCCCAAAACCGUUAGGCUUGAGGGAGACAGAGGUGAGUGGAACUGAUGGUGGAGCGGUGAAAUGCGUCGAUAUCAUCAGGAACACCGGUGGCGAAAGCGGCUCACUGGGUCUCUUCUGACGCUGAGGUACGAAAGCUAGGGUAGCGAACGGGAUUAGAUA
rnacentral:rRNA from 1 species